rnacentral:rRNA from 1 species
UGGGGAAUAUUGGACAAUGGGCGAAAGCCUGAUCCAGCCAUGCCGCGUGUGUGAAGGAGGUCUUCGGAUUGUAAAGCACUUUAAGUUGGGAGGAAGGGCAUUAACCUAAUACGUUAGUGUUUUGACGUUACCGACAGAAUAAGCACCGGCUAACUCUGUGCCAGCAGCCGCGGUAAUACAGAGGGUGCAAGCGUUAAUCGGAAUUACUGGGCGUAAAGCGCGCGUAGGUGGUCUGUUAAGUUGGAUGUGAAAUCCCCGGGCUCAACCUGGGAACUGCAUUCAAAACUGACUGACUAGAGUAUGGUAGAGGGUGGUGGAAUUUCCUGUGUAGCGGUGAAAUGCGUAGAUAUAGGAAGGAACACCAGUGGCGAAGGCGACCACCUGGACUAAUACUGACACUGAGGUGCGAAAGCGUGGGGAGCAAACA